AAGGGAAAGAGUAAUUUUGGGAGAGUGCUAAUUUUUCCAAACCACGGUUAGAGUCCAUGGGUCCCUUG
rnacentral:tRNA from 1 species